rnacentral:rRNA from 1 species
AAUGAACGCUAGCGGGAUGCUUUACACAUGCAAGUCGAACGAGUGGCGGACGGGUGAGACAUAUAUCGGAACUUGCCCAGUAGCGGGGAAUAACUACUCGAAAGGGUGGCUAAAACCGCAUACUAUUGGCGCGGCCGAUAUCGGCUUAUCUAGUUGGUGGGGUAAAGGCUCACCAAGGCAACGCUCCGUAGCUGGUUUGAGAGGAUGACCGGCCACACUGGAACUGAGACACGGCCCAGACUCCGACGGGAGGCAGCAGUGGGGAAUUUUGGACAAUGGGGGAAACCCUGAUCCAGCCAUCCCGCGUGUAUGAGAAGGCCUUCGGGUUGUAAAGUACUUUUGGCAGGGAAGCGGUAUCUGCAGAAUAAGCACCGGCUAACUACGUGCCAGCAGCCGCGGUAAUUC